rnacentral:rRNA from 1 species
GACGAACGCUGGCGGCGUGCCUAAUACAUGCAAGUCGAGCGGACGAAUCGAAAGCUUGCUUUUGAUUCGUUAGCGGCGGACGGGUGAGUAACACGUGGGCAACCUGCCCUGUAGACGGGGAUAACACCGAGAAAUCGGUGCUAAUACCGGAUAACACGAAAUGUCGCAUGACGUUUCGUUGAAAGACGGCGCAAGCUGUCGCUACAGGAUGGGCCCGCGGCGCAUUAGCUAGUUGGUGAGGUAACGGCUCACCAAGGCGACGAUGCGUAGCCGACCUGAGAGGGUGAUCGGCCACACUGGGACUGAGACACGGCCCAGACUCCUACGGGAGGCAGCAGUAGGGAAUCUUCCGCAAUGGACGAAAGUCUGACGGAGCAACGCCGCGUGAGCGAAGAAGGCCUUCGGGUCGUAAAGCUCUGUUGUUAGGGAAGAACAAGUAACGCAGU